rnacentral:rRNA from 1 species
UACGUAGGGUGCGAGCGUUGUCCGGAUUUAUUGGGCGUAAAGAGCUCGUAGGCGGUUUGUCGCGUCGGCCGUGAAAUCUCCACGCUUAACGUGGAGCGUGCGGUCGAUACGGGCAGACUAGAGUGCGGUAGGGGAGACUGGAAUUCCUGGUGUAGCGGUGAAAUGCGCAGAUAUCAGGAGGAACACCGGUGGCGAAGGCGGGUCUCUGGGCCGUAACUGACGCUGAGGAGCGAAAGCGUGGGGAGCGAACAGG